GGUCCUACGGGACGCAGCAGUGGGGAAUAUUGCACAAUGGGGGAAACCCUGAUGCAGCGACGCCGCGUGAGUGAGGAAGUAUUUCGGUAUGUAAAGCUCUAUCAGCAGGGAAGAAAAUGACGGUACCUGACUAAGAAGCCCCGGCUAACUACGUGCCAGCAGCCGCGGUAAUACGUAGGGGGCAAGCGUUAUCCGGAUUUACUGGGUGUAAAGGGAGCGUAGACGGAAAGGCAAGUCAGAAGUGAAAGCCCAAGGCUCAACCAUGGGACUGCUUUUGAAACUGUCAAACUAGA
rnacentral:rRNA from 1 species